CCUCAACGUAAAGUUCUUCCUCAUGUUGAGAUGGAACGUUUUGGUUUUUAAGUUUAUGGCCAUUGCUCCUGGUCCUGUUGCUAGGCAGCACCAACAAGAGUCUGGCAGCAUCAUUUCAGCACCUGCCUUUGAGAUAUUUAUAUGAAUGAAUGAGAUCCCCUCUCGGUCUUCUCUAGGCCAAACAGGCCCAGCUCCCCCAGUCUCUCCCUAUGAGAGAUGCUCCAGACCCUUAAACAUCUGUGGAUGUCAGCAACGAGCUGGCCAGCAACGGGAUCAGGAUGUGAAAUAUCCGCACCAAGGCAAGGCCCAAGGCGUGAGGUGAACCACAAAACCAGCACGGGGUGAAGACGACAGUGCCAGCCCCGGCACGGCAGAAGGGACCGGCCACCACCUGCCUUCAGCGUCAGAUUCCAGUUGUGGCCACACACCCAACCCAUGGCAGAAGAAUAAAUGCAGCUCAAUUAAAUUCUUUUGUCUUUUUUCAACCAAGUUACAAAAUAAUUACCCUCUCUCCCUUUACUUCACUUUUGUCUUAAAUAAAUCACUAUUAGAUUUAGCAGUUUUCUGAUUUUCAUAGGAGUUUGAUCAUUGUUAUGCAACAUCAGGUUAGAUUAUCCCUGUUGUUUUAAUGCUUCUAAUAAUGAUUUUCUGGGUUCAUGAGCAACAGAGCUCACUAUUUGUAGUGGUCAUUAUCUCUCUGAUUUGUGGUCACUUUCCGUGCAGAUGUUCCUGUGUACAGCUAUUUUGGUUGCUGUAUAAAUCAAAUUAUUUUGUCAAUGUAUCGACUGCACUGAGACUAAUCUGAAAUUUCUUGCAUAUGUUUCUUUUUUUGUUUUCUAAUGUACUUCCACGUCAUCACUAAGAAGGUUUAUUAUCUUGUCCUGUGGUAAGAAGAAUCCCAGCAGUCUGGCUAAAAGGAACAGACCGAGCAAUUACAAAACUCACUAAGAAGUAAAUGAGGCAGCACUUACAUUGCAGAAUGCUUACCAUCAGUUCUGAUAACGCAAGUGGCAAAAAAAUGUUUGGUGGGGCUGAAAAGUGUGGUUUUAAAAGUAUGUUUGCAAAGCUAUCACAAAAAGUAGGCAAGGAAAUGUAUUUUAUUAGCUGACUUUGAAAAUAUUUGUAUAACUCUGUUUGCAUCACUGUAUAUGUCCAUAUAUUUCUGCUUUUUUCAGAACGAUCUUGAGGUCAUUCAGAGCUCCUGGGAACUUAAGCUAUAUUUUUCUAGCUCUGAAGGCUGUGAGAAUGGUUUGUGUAACAGUCUGAUAAACAACCUAAUAAAGAAAGCAAAAAGCUGAGUAGAACUUUUGUUCCUUUCCUGGAAAGGAAGAUCAGCAGAGUACGUCAGCAGGCAGAGAGAGAAAAAGGAGAAGUGUCCUCUCUGGAGCUGAAGAGUCUCAAGGGAAGAUUCACAGGGAUUUCUUACAAGAAAUGAAAUGUUAACAUCAGUGUUAAAAAGGAGUUCUUUCUGCAGGUGUGCCAUAAAUCCAAAAUAACUAACCGAAGUCAGUGCAGUUCCUGGGGAUUUGUGCUACUGUAAAUGAGAACAGAAUGGUUGUCUGACGACUCUACGUUUUGUUCCACAUAUCCCUGGAUACCCUUGUUGUGUGCAACAAGACAUGGAGAUAUGAGCAGUGGGAUUUUAAAUGGAUCUACGUUUAUAAUUCCAGUUAAAAUCAAGAGGAAAGGAGUGGAAAGCAAACAGAACCUUUUUCUCUUCUGUGCCAUGCUCACACCAAAACAUCUGUCCAUCAGCUCUACUUCCUUCAAGUCCAGGAACACCGUGGUUAUAGGAGUGCUUAAAAAGCCUGUAUUUUUACUGUCAGAGGAUGCCGUUGAUAUUCCUAGACAUGAAAAUACUUAAGAUUGCUGUAUGCUGGGUUUUGGGUGUUUUUUUUUUUUACUCUAUAAAUGGCAUUCUGAACUGUGCUGCCUGUAUCAAAUAGCUCCUGGAACAUCCCUCCUAAUCAGUUCCUUUUGGGAGCAGGAUCGUCGGGCUCGUUCUGAAGCCGUGCCAGUGCCGGCAGUGCAUGGGGACUACAGAUGAGAUCUUUGUUACAGAAGCAUGAGAUCAAUUCACCGUUCCAGGCCAUGUAGUAAAUGCAUUCCUGACUGAACGUUACAUCGUUUUUAUUUUCCUGGGACAGCAUUGCACUGUGUCUCCUCUCUGAAAGAGCUAUGUUCAUUAGAUACAGGAAGUCCUACUAAUCAUCCAUAACGUUACAUUAACAGCUGCUGGUGCGUCUUUGAAUGCCCAGUGAUGAGGGGAGAGUUUGCAAGAGAUUUGGUGCUUCUUUGCUGUGAUUGUUUUCUUCAGCAUGCUUCAGAAUCCGAAGUUCUGUAAAAAAAAAAGGGCAGUUAAUCCUUGGGGUUGUGAGGAAAACUUUUAAAACGUGCACCAGAUGGAAAUCAAUGCAGUAGUGUCUUACAAGCAGACAGAUAGGCUGAGAAGAAAUCUGAAGUCUGAUAUUAUUUGGAUUGAAGGAAAAAGAGCUGCAAAGCAGUCAUGCAACUUAGAUAUCGUCGAUACAGAAUAUGCAAGUCUGCAGUGAGCUCUGUCUCAUUUCACAUCGUUGACAGCUUUGUUUUUGCCAGUGGCUCAAGAUAAACCCAAUUUUCUCUCCUGUUGAUUUGUGCUCCCUUUCUUUUGUAUAGACAACUUCCAUUACUUCCUUUGGCAGUGCACACGAUAGCUGACUCAGGAACAGAGCUGACCGGAAAAAAAAGAUUUCCAGUCUAUAGACAAUAAAUUUAUACUUCUGCCCUUGUUUUAUGCACAUUUUUUUACAA